CUGAAGGGCGCGUCCGGGUCAAUUGCGGAUUGCAACACCCGAUUUCGCUCGUCGUACCGUCGCAAAUGACGGUCGGCGAGGGGGAGCGCGUUACCGUCAG
rfam:Haladaptatus litoreus strain CGMCC 1.7737 genome assembly, contig: Ga0104463_101